rnacentral:rRNA from 1 species
UACGAAGGGGGCGAGCGUUGUUCGGAUUUACUGGGCGUAAAGGGCGCGCAGGCGGCUCAUUUUGUCAGGCGUGAAAGCCCCGGGCUUAACCUGGGAACUGCGUUUGAUACGGAUGGGCUAGAGUUCGGGAGAGGAGAGUGGAAUUCCCGGUGUAGAGGUGAAAUUCGUAGAUAUCGAGAGGAACACCGGUGGCGAAGGCGGCCUUCUGGACAGUGACUGACGCUGAGACGCGAAAGCGUGGGGAGCAAACAGG